ensembl:lncRNA
AAUAACUCAGUAAAUACUGCAGGUCACUGACCAGGAUGGAGAAUCAAUAACUCAGUAAAUACUGCAGGUCACUGACCAGGAUGGAGAAUCAAUAACUCAUUAAAUACUGCAGGUCACUGACCAGGAUGGAGAAUCAAUAACUCAGUAAAUACUGCAGGUCACUGACCAGGAUGGAGAAUCAAUAACUCAGUAAAUACUGCAGGCCACUGACCAGGAUGGAGAAUCAACAACUCACGGCAGGUCUGGGAAGUAUGUCAAGUAAGUAACAGAAUAAAAUAUGGAUGUAGCCAUGUCUAUGGGUGCCGGCUUGGCUGUUUGUGUUUCUCAAGGUUUGUGAGGUAUCCUGUAUAUAAUACUGUACAGAGAGUCAAAUACUGUAAGGGGGAGUUUCCCAGACACAGAUUAAACCUAGUUCUGGACUAAGAAUAAUUUCUGAUAGACUUGGCUUAACCUGUGUCCGGCUAACCACCCAUAGAUAUUG